rnacentral:rRNA from 1 species
GACGAACGCUGGCGGCGCGCUUAACACAUGCAAGUCGAACGGAAAGGCCUGCUUUCCCUUGUGGAUUGCGGGUACUCGAGUGGCGAACGGGUGAGUAACACGUGAGUGAUCUGCCCCCAACUUGGGUAUAAGCCUGGGAAACUGGGUCUAAUUCCCGAUAGGACUGCAGGGUGGUGCCUGUGGUGGAAAACGAUUUUCUAGUGGUUGGGGAUGAGCUCGCGGCUUAUCAGCUUGUUGGUGGGGUAAUGGCCUACCAAGGCGGCGACGGGUAGCCGGCCGGAGAGGGUGGACGGCCACAUUGGGACUGAGAUACUGCACAGACUCCUACGGGAGGCAGCAGUGGGGAAUAUUACACAAUGGGCGGAAGCCUGAUGCAGCGACGCCGCGUGGGGGAUGACGGCCUUCGGGUUGUAAACUCCUUCCGACCGCGAGGAAGCCACCUGGUUGGAAGGGUGGUGACGGUAGUGGUAGAAGAAGCACCGGCUAACUACGUG